UGGGGUGUAGCCAAGUGGUAAGGCACGGGACUUUGACUCCUGGAUGCGUCAGUUCGAAUCUGGCCUCCCCAG
rnacentral:tRNA from 1 species